ensembl:lncRNA
GACGCCAUAAUGACUCUUGCAGCCCCAGCGCCGUUUGCCAGUGAGGUCCUUUUCCUCCACACUGACAGAAAUGGCCAUAAAAAUACAACUUUAAAGCGAUGAGGACAGUCUGUGACAGGGCAGGGAGCUGUGGUUGCUGCUGAAGGGCCGAGGGGACCAUGUGGCGAGGCGUCCAUCUGGGGUAACCUGAGUAAACGCAGGGUUCAAGUCUCCUCCAGUAGCAUGCUCCUCUUGCCAAGCUGCUGUCUGCAACCCACCGUGUCCACUAUCACCACCUUCAUCUCCAAAUGCGUUACUUCAUGGGUGAUCUGAACUACUGGGAGCAGGCUUGAUUGAACACAGUCUGACUGCUGCAGGAAGGAAGGACCUCCUUCAAACAUCGUGGGUGAAGCAGUCUGUCCCUGAAGGAGCUGCCGG